GACGACGCUGGCGGCGUGCCUAACACAUGCAAGUCGAGCGGAGCCAAUUAACAGAGUCCCUUCGGGGUGACGUUGAGGAAGCUUAGCGGCGGACGGGUGAGUAACGCGUGAGUAACCUGCCCAUAAGAGAGGGAUAACACAGAGAAAUUUGUGCUAAUACCUCAUAUUGAGUUUUAAUCGCAUGGUUUUAACUUGAAAGAUUUAUCGCUUAUGGAUGGACUCGCGUCUGAUUAGCUAGUUGGUAGGGUAACGGCCUACCAAGGCGACGAUCAGUAGCCGGACUGAGAGGUUGACCGGCCACAUUGGAACUGAGACACGGUCCAAACUCCUACGGGAGGCAGCAGUGGGGAAUAUUGCACAAUGGGGGAAACCCUGAUGCAGCAACGCCGCGUGAAGGAAGAAGGCCUUCGGGUCGUAAACUUCUGUCCUUGGGGAAGAAACAAAUGACGGUACCCUUGGAGGAAGCCCCGGCUAACUACGUG
rnacentral:rRNA from 1 species